UUUGGCAGCACAUAUACUAAAAAAAAAAAAAAUUGGAACAGAGAAGAUUAGAAUGGCCCCUGAGCAAGGAUGAUAUGCAAAUUCAUAAGGCAUCCCAUCAAAAA